rnacentral:rRNA from 1 species
GAUGAACGCUGGCGGCGUGCCUAAUACAUGCAAGUCGAGCGAACAGACGAGGAGCUUGCUCCUCUGACGUUAGCGGCGGACGGGUGAGUAACACGUGGAUAACCUACCUAUAAGACUGGGAUAACUUCGGGAAACCGGAGCUAAUACCGGAUAAUAUAUUGAACCGCAUGGUUCAAUAGUGAAAGACGGUUUUGCUGUCACUUAUAGAUGGAUCCGCGCCGCAUUAGCUAGUUGGUAAGGUAACGGCUUACCAAGGCAACGAUGCGUAGCCGACCUGAGAGGGUGAUCGGCCACACUGGAACUGAGACACGGUCCAGACUCCUACGGGAGGCAGCAGUAGGGAAUCUUCCGCAAUGGGCGAAAGCUUGACGGAGCAACGCCGCGUGAGUGAUGAAGGUCUUCGGAUCGUAAAACUCUGUUAUUAGGGAAGAACAAAUGUGUAAGUAACUAUGCACGUCUUGACGGUACCUAAUCAGAAAGCCACGGAUAACUACGUG